CAAUCAAAAUAUCUCGCAAAUCGCGAUUUUGAUGAAAAUUAACUGUCAUUUCCUUCCCGUUGGAGAUAUUUCGACGUUUAAGCGCUGGUUGAACUCCAUUUCACAGUGCAAAUGCAACGCACUACCGUUUAAGCGUCGAAACAAGCAAAAUAGCUAGCAAAUCGCGAAGACUUCGUCGAUUUUGACGAAAACUAACCGUCAUUUCUUUCCGGCUGGGGAUAUUUCGACGUUUAAGCGCUCGUUGAACUCCAUUUCACAGUGCAAAUGCAAUUGUCACGUCCCGCGCUCCGCACGCGCCGUAACAAGAACAAGAAAACCAUUCUAUACAAAACGCGCAAGUAAGGAUUUGAAUGCACAAACGAACACACGGCGCUACAAAACUAAAGGAAGGAUUAACAAAGCGAGGGCGACUAAUAAAUCCAAUCAGUAUGAAAUAAAAUAAAUAAAACCAGCUAACGGAUUGAACGAGUUACGAACCAAACAAAUAAACCAGGAAAUAAGAAUAACUACAAAAGGGGAAAUAAUGGAAACCCCAGAAAUACAAGUAUAUAUAUAUAUUUUAAUCAAUCAACUUUGAGAGUUACAUAUAAGUAUAAACAUAUAUGCUAGGCAUGUAAUAAAGUAGUAAAUAUUAGAGUUAGUGCUUAUAAUACUAUGCAACAAAUACAAUAUUAUCAAUUUAUGAAAUAUAAGUAUAUACAAAGUUAAAAACUAAUAGUCUAACGAAUACAUAAAACAUACAAUAUUGUAUUAUUAAAGAAAUAAAAGUUACACUGUCAGAAACAUAUAUAUAUGUGUGCGCAUUCUAUUAAACAGAUACAUACUUAAAAUUAGCCUACGUUCCGGUAAAGAAUUAUAAAAUAAGAACUACAUUACGAAACAUGCAUGUCUAUAUAUAAAUAUAUAAAUUAUAUUCUAAACUAAACUACUAUUAAUGUAUGCUCUUUCUACAUUAUUGAUUCAAAUCGAUAAUCUAAGAUACAUACUUAAAACUAGCCUACGUUCCGGUAAAGAGUUAUAAAAUAAGAACUACGCUACGAAACAUGCAUGUCUCUAUACAAACAUAUAAAAAUCUAUAUUCUAAACUACUACUAAUCUAUGUGCAUUCUACAAUCUAAAAUACAUACCUAAAACUAGCCUACAUGCCGGUAAAGCAUUAUAAAAUAAGAACUACAUUAUGAAACAUGCAUGUCUCUAUAUAAACACAUAAAUAAUCUAUUUUCUAAACUAAAACUACUAUUAAUAAUCUACAAAAGAAAUAGAACACACAACGCAACACUUGGGACUAAGCGACAACCUGUCGAUAGCCCAAACGCUCAAAAUAAUUAAGACCGCAACGACUUGAGGAAUUGCAUACAGAAAUUCUAUCAUCAAGCACAAAUAUGUAAACAUACAUUAAACGCACAAUAAUCUAGAAACAAAACCUUCAAUACUAUGUUGUCACAAUACAAGAUAUAUAUGUAUAUAUGAAAUCAAAUGAUUGACACAUAACCUCAAAUACACAACACUAUAUCACUAAAGAAUCUAAAUGAAAAUCACUUUGCCAGAAAUAUAUACAUAUAUACGUGUGCGUGUGCGUGUUCUAUCUUAUUAAAAGAAAUUAAUAUAAAAUAAAUAAUUAACAUUUCAUUUCGUAUGAACACUAUAUGGGCAAGAGAAAUAUGCAUAUAAAUACGUAUAUAUAUAUAUAUAUAUAUAUAUAUAUAUAUAUAUAUAUAUAUAUAUAUAUAUAUAUGUGUGUGUGUGUGAGUGCAUAUGUUUUAUAUUAUCGAAUACUCUAUAAAAUAAACUACUCGAAACAAUAAAUAACGCAAUCGAAGAAUCACAAAACAUUAGCCAUACUGAAGUGACACACAACAUAAACAUAUAUAUAUAUAUACGUAUAUUCACACGAGCUAUACUAUUGUCACUUUAAAACAAUAUUAAUAAAUAAAUGUUCUAAUUGCGGUAGAAUAAGGAAAAACGAGCGACAGACGAAAAAUUACUUCGAUAUCAAACAAAACUAAAGACCCGUCACUAAAAACUUUACUGAUGACAUUUAUGAGCAGCCAUGUUGGAUUUACACGCGUCAUGGCGACAGGAAUAUUAGGGAUUAAUGGAAGUCAGGCGCGAGAAACAAAUCAUGAAAACACAUUGUUAACACUUUUCUUUAAUAAAUUCUAUGCGCAACUACAAAUAUAAAAA